UCCGUCGAUAUUUCACUGAAUUACAUUUCUUUCAGAACUGACGCGUCAUUCACAUAAAAAUUACACCGAUAUUUGCCUUGGUGGAUUUCCAAAUGGGACUAGUGUGAUCAAUGGGGUGAACUGAGUGACUGCUGUAGUUUUAACCCCCAGCGGUGUGUUUAUCAUAUACUUUUUUGAUAUUGAAAUAGAAACCCAACGAACCGUGUAGAAUCUGUUUCACAAGAAUGAAUUUCAAGUGUUAAAAAUACACAGGCAUUUUUUUUUAGUAUUUUGAAUUCGUCUAGACCUGCGACGACUCUGCGAAUUUUGUAUAUAUAGGUGUAUAUAGGUAUACCAUUAGAAUUUAAAACUACAUUGCACAAGGUUGCAGCAUCACGUGCAAUUGAAUGCUGUAUUAAAUUAUCUGGAAAGCUUUGGAAUCUGGGACUGUAACAGCGUCGCAUAACAUAAAUAAGCUGAGGGUUGGAAUUGAAGAUUCUGAAUUCAUAGCAUUUAUAAUGCAAAUGACGGUUAUACAACCAUUUCGAAUUGAAGUGAAAUUACGUCUUCGCAAACAAUUCAAUAAGAUUUCAGAAAAGAAAAAAACCGUGCCAUAACCUGUCAAUUGUACUCAAAGAGUCUACACAUAUGUAUAUACCCAUUGUACUCUAUUCCAUUCUACAUGCAGUAUGACAUACUGACAAUGGAUGUACGAAAAGAAUAUUCAUCUCAUCCAGGACCGUGUUUGCAUUACACAAUGUUCGUAUGUCUGAUGACGCUUAUGAAUUAAUUAGAUAAUAACCAGCGACAAUUAGAGCAGACGCACGGACGCAUGAAAACAGCAUCUGCUUCUCAUAUCAAGAUAAAAACUCGUGGUAAAAUUUCUUAGCGGAAUUGCAAGACAAAGGAAAGAUUUCAUUGUUGUCUGUACAGAUAGCCAGACGACCGAUCCCGCGGUUGUUCUAGUUUGUUCAGGACUGUGACUGACUGCAACAGUCGGAAAUACGAUGAGUAAUGAAUUGCGAAUGAAUAUACAAUACAACGUUCAGCAGAGACCUAUGGAUAAUAAAAUAUAGACACCUACGUACCUUGUUCUUGGGCGGCAUCGCCGGUUACGAGUAAACAGCGACGGAAUCUCUAAACUGAGAAGCACCCCGACGAGGAAAGGAGUUACCACCGGACUGGACAGUGUCCAGCUAUUCCAUGUAACGAGCGAUAUUAAAAUGCGGACAGCUC